rnacentral:rRNA from 1 species
AUACGUAGGUGACAAGCGUUAUCCGGAUUUACUGGGCGUAAAGGGCGUGUAGGCGGUCUUGCAAGUCAGAUGUGAAAAUCCAGUGCUCAACAUUGGACGUGCAUUUGAAACUGUUUAGCUAGAGUACCGGAGAGGUAAGAGGAAUUCCUAGUGUAGCGGUGAAAUGCGUAGAUAUUAGGAGGAACACCAGUGGCGAAGGCGGCCUGCUGGACGACAACUGACGCUGAGGCGCGAAAGCGUGGGGAGCAAACAGGAUUAGAUACCCUGGUAGUCCACGCUGUAAACGAUGAUUACUAGUUGUUGGGGACCAAAGGUCCUCGGUGCCGCCGCAAACGCAUUAAGUAAUCCACCUGGGGAGUACGUUCGCAAGAAUGAAACUCAAAUGAAUUGACGGGG